rnacentral:misc_RNA from 1 species
GUGAAUCAUCAAAUCUUUGAACGCAAAUUGCACUCUCUGGUAUUCCGGAGAGUAUGCCUGUUUGAGGGUCAGUUAAAAUAAAAAUCGGUGUGUUCGCUGCGUUUCGUGGUGACGCGCCGGAUUUGGGUCGUCUUGCCUUGGUUUAGGUGGCCUAAAAUUUUGCAUUAUUUUGUUGAACGG